rnacentral:ncRNA from 1 species
AAGAAUGAUCCCAAAAUAUCAGGGAAUCCAGUACUAGGAUAACCAUUCGAAUGCCAUCUCAUCCUUCUAGAAGAUUCCCUUCUAGAAGCAUCAAGAAUUCAUCUUUUUACUUGCUUUAAAAAGAGUUCGCACCCUAGCAGUUCAACACAGUGCGAACUUCUCGCACCCUGGCUUAAGGAAGCCUGCGAGAAUCAGGCAUUCUCACAGGCAAAUAUACUAGCAGACUGCAAACUUGCUUCAAAAAUGAGUUUUCUGGAAGAGAUGAAAAUAACUUUUUCUCAGGAGAAAGUUCUUAUGAAGAGCCUAAGUACACCAUCAUCAAUACAUCAUCAUGAUGACCAAAAUCAUGGGUAACAGAUAGGUUCCAGCAGCUGGAACAACAUCGCAUGUCUUGCAGUGUCCAGUGCAGCCUCGGUGGCCCUUGAAAAUCUGGAGGACCAAGUACCGUCCAUGCCCGAGCAUAAUCAUAACGACAUCAAGUCUCCAAUGUGAACAACUUCUAGUCAAUAGAAUAAUGUAGGUAAGCGAAGUCAGAAAAAUAGAUCAGUAACUUCGGGAAAAGGAUUGGCUCUCAGGGAUGGGCCUAGGGGUCUGUGUCCUCAACAUGUCGGCUAUCGGUAGUCUACCCGUGGAACUGUCAUUGAUUAAUUCUACCUCCUUUUGAAUGGUAGUGCAACUAAUUAAUUCUACCUCCUUUUGAAUGGUAGAGAACCACCUAUCAUU